rnacentral:rRNA from 1 species
UACGUAGGGCGCGAGCGUUGUCCGGAAUUAUUGGGCGUAAAGAGCUCGUAGGCGGCCGGUUGCGUCUGCUGUGAAAUCCCGGGGCUUAACCCCGGGCGUGCAGUGGAUACGGGCCGGCUGGAGGCAGGGCAGGGGAGAAUGGAAUUCCCGGUGUAGCGGUGAAAUGCGCAGAUAUCGGGAGGAACACCGGUGGCGAAGGCGGUUCUCUGGGCCUGUACUGACGCUGAGGAGCGAAAGCGUGGGGAGCGAACAGG